rnacentral:rRNA from 1 species
GAUGAACGCUGGCGGCGUGCCUAAUACAUGCAAGUCGAGCGAACAGACGAGGAGCUUGCUCCUCUGACGUUAGCGGCGGACGGGUGAGUAACACGUGGAUAACCUACCUAUAAGACUGGGAUAACUUCGGGAAACCGGAGCUAAUACCGGAUAAUAUAUUGAACCGCAUGGUUCAAUAGAGAAAGACGGUUUUGCUGUCACUUAUAGAUGGAUCCGCGCCGCAUUAGCUAGUUGGUAAGGUAACGGCUUACCAAGGCAACGAUGCGUAGCCGACCUGAGAGGGUGAUCGGCCACACUGGAACUGAGACACGGUCCAGCCUCCUACGGGAGGCAGCAGUAGGGAAUCUUCCGCAAUGGGCGAAAGCCUGACGGAGCAACGCCGCGUGAGCGAUGAAGGUCUUCGGAUCGUAAAACUCUGUUAUUGGGGAAGAACAAAUGUGUAAGUGACUAUGCACGUCUUGACGGUACCUAAUCAGAAAGCCACGGCUAACUACGUG